rnacentral:rRNA from 1 species
UAAACUGGGAUGAGAUACCCCACUAUGCCUAGCCGUAAACAUUGAUAGAAUUUUACACCCUCUAUCCGCCUGGGUAUUACGAGCAUUAGCUUGAAACCCAAAGGACUUGGCGGUACUUUAGAUCCCCCUAGAGGAGCCUGUUCUAUAACCGAUGACCCCCGUUCAACCUCACCCUCCCUUGUUUCUCCCGCCUAUAUACCGCCGUCGUCAGCUUACCCUGUGAAGGUCUAAUAGUAAGCAAAAUUGGCACCGCCCAGAACGUCAGGUCGAGGUGUAGCGCAUGAGAGGGGAAGAAAUGGGCUACAUUCGCUAAUAUAGCGAAUACGAACGAUGCACUGAAAACGUCCAUCUGAAGGAGGAUUUAGCAGUAAGUGGAAAAUAGAGUGUUCCAC